UCAUAUUCCUACAUUAACAGCAGAAGUGUUUCCAUGAAAUAUCUGGAGAUCUAAUUCCACAAUCCAGGGAUCUUACUAAGCAUAUUUCUCUACACAGUGAUAAGCUGUCACUCUUUGCAAACUCUGUAAAAAUCACAACUGACUUGCUUUGUAGAUAAUUUUUAUGUUAUCACUGGGAUUUCUUUUUAAAUGGUAAAAUUCAGAUAAUCUAAGAUUAACUUUCUUUAAAGGGAAUUGUUGGUGGUGUGGGUCCUCCUGGAUUUCCAGGACUAAGAGGAGACAUUGGGCCAGCAGGACCAAGUGGACCAUCAGGAAUUCCAGGGCCCACGGUAUGGUAUAAAAUGAUCCCGCAGCCCCAUGCCUAUGCUGCUUUCCAAAUUAUAGUCAAACACUGGAUUUAUGUUUUCUUUAAUUUAACAGGGUUUUCUAGGGAGUGUGGGACAGCCUGGAAUGAAAGGUGAUAAGGGUGAACAUGGCCUUGCGGGAGAGCCAGGAGAUCAGGGAUACCCAGGAGACAAGGGUGCUCCUGGUUUACCAGGACCCCCAGGGAUCAGAGGAAAACCAGGACCUCCAGUAAGUUUACGCAUUGAAUUUUGCUCUUGAUAUAUCGCUGUAUGUUGUUGAUACUUGAUAUUUU
rnacentral:lncRNA from 1 species